rnacentral:rRNA from 1 species
AUGAACGCUGGCGGCGUGCCUAAUACAUGCAAGUCGAGCGAACGGACGAGAAGCUUGCUUCUCUGAUGUUAGCGGCGGACGGGUGAGUAACACGUGGAUAACCUACCUAUAAGACUGGGAUAACUUCGGGAAACCGGAGCUAAUACCGGAUAAUAUUUUGAACCGCAUGGUUCAAAAGUGAAAGACGGUCUUGCUGUCACUUAUAGAUGGAUCCGCGCUGCAUUAGCUAGUUGGUAAGGUAACGGCUUACCAAGGCAACGAUGCAUAGCCGACCUGAGAGGGUGAUCGGCCACACUGGAACUGAGACACGGUCCAGACUCCUACGGGAGGCAGCAGUAGGGAAUCUUCAGCAAUGGGCGAAAGCCUGACGGAGCAACGCCGCGUGAGUGAUGAAGGUCUUCGGAUCGUAAAACUCUGUUAUUAGGGAAGAACAUAUGUGUAAGUAACUGUGCACAUCUUGACGGUACCUAAUCAGAAAGCCACGGCUAACUACGUG